rnacentral:rRNA from 1 species
GAUGAACGCUAGCUACAGGCUUAACACAUGCAAGUCGAGGGGUAACGAGAGGAAAGCUUGCUUUCCUUGUCGACGACCGGCGCACGGGUGAGUAACGCGUAUCCAACCUGCCCCCAACUAGGGAAUAACCUUGCGAAAGUAAGACUAAUACCCUAUACUUUCCUCAGAUGUCAUCUGACGAGGAAUAAAGAUUUAUCGGUUGUGGAUGGGGAUGCGUCUGAUUAGCUUGUUGGCGGGGUAACGGCCCACCAAGGCAACGAUCAGUAGGGGUUCUGAGAGGAAGGGCCCCCACAUUGGAACUGAGACACGGUCCAAACUCCUACGGGAGGCAGCAGUGAGGAAUAUUGGUCAAUGGGCGGAAGCCUGAACCAGCCAAGUAGCGUGCAGGAUGACGGCCCUAUGGGUUGUAAACUGCUUUUAUACAGGAAUAAAGUUAGCCACGUGUGGUUAUUUGUAGGUACUGUAUGAAUAAGGACCGGCUAAUUCCGUGCCAGCAGCCGCCGUAA